UGGCGGGACGGGGUGGAGUAAUGUCUGGGAAACUGCCCGAUGGAGGGGGGUAACUACUGGAAACGGUAGCUAAUACCGCAUAACGUCGCAAGACCAAAGAGGGGACCUUCGGGCCUCUUGCCAUCGGAUGUGCCCAGAUGGGAUUAGCUAGUAGGUGGGGUAACGGCUCACCUAGGCGACGAUCCCUAGCUGGUCUGAGAGGAUGACCAGCCACACUGGAACUGAGACACGGUCCAG
rnacentral:rRNA from 1 species